rnacentral:rRNA from 1 species
GGAUGAAGCCCCUUGGGGUGUAAACUGCUGUCAGAGACUACCAACACAAUGAGGAAUCUCAAAGGAAGGGCCGGCUAACUUCGUGCCAGCAGCCGCGGUAAUACGAAGGGCCCGAGCGUUAUUCGGAUUUACUAGGCUUAAAGCGUACGCAGGCGGACACGCAGGUAUCGAGUGAAAUCCCUCGGCUCAACCGAGGAACCGCUCGGUAAACCGCGUGUCUUGAGACAAAUAGAGGUUGUCGGAACGAUAGGUGGAGUGGUGAUAUGCGUUGAUAUCUAUCGGAACGCCGAAGGUGAAGACAGGCAACUGGGUUUGUUCUGACGCUCAUGUACGAAAGCGUGGGGAGCGAACGGGAUUAGAUACCCCCGUAGUCC